rnacentral:rRNA from 1 species
AAGAUUAAGCCAUGCAUGUCUAAGUAUAAGCAAUUUAUACAGUGAAACUGCGAAUGGCUCAUUAAAUCAGUUAUAGUUUAUUUGAUAGUACCUUACUACUUGGAUAACCGUGGUAAUUCUAGAGCUAAUACAUGCAUAACAGCCCCAACCUCUGGGAGGGGUGUAUUUAUUAGAUAAAAACCAAUGCCUUCGGGCUUCCUGGUGAUUCAUAAUAACUUUUCGGAGCGCAU